rnacentral:rRNA from 1 species
ACGGGAGGCAGCAGUGAGGAAUAUUGGUCAAUGGGCGGAAGCCUGAACCAGCCAAGUCGCGUGAAGGAUGAAGGUAUUAUGUAUUGUAAACUUCUUUAGCAGCAGAGUAAUAAGGGGGUCGUGACCCCCGAUGCAAGUAUGCUGAAAAUAAGGAUCGGCUAACUCCGUGCCAGCAGCCGCGGUAAUACGGAGGAUCCGAGCGUUAUCCGGAUUUAUUGGGUUUAAAGGGUGCGCAGGCGGUUUUUUAAGUCAGUGGUUAAAUCGUGAGGCUCAACCUCAUCACGCCAUUGAUACUGGAAGACUUGAUUGCGGUUGAGGUUGGCGGAAUUCGUCGUGUAGCGGUGAAAUGCAUAGAUAUGACGAAGAACACCGAUUGCGUAGGCAGCUGACCAAGCCGUAAAUGACGCUCAUGCACGAAAGUGCGGGGAUCGAACAGGAUUAGAUACCCUGGUA